rnacentral:hammerhead_ribozyme from 1 species
AUUCAGCUGAUAAAUCCCAAAUAGGACGGAACACGCGUCAAACUGGAU